GACUGCUAACGACGGCAUGGUGCCGUCGCUAGCAGUCCCAGUCAGAUGCUAAGCAGCUACAGACCCCCAACAUAUACCGUUGGAAAGGUAAUCGCCUCACCUUUCCAACGGUAUAAUGCUUGUAAAAAAAGAAUAAAAAAUAUUAAGUAAAAAAAAUAAAAAUGUACAAAAAAAGUAAAAAAAAUGAUAAA